rnacentral:rRNA from 1 species
AGGACGAACGCUGGCGGCGCGCCUAACACAUGCAAGUCGAGCGAGAACCAGGGCUUGCCCUGGGGAAAGCGGCGAACGGGUGCGUAACACGUGAGCAACCUGCCCCAAAGACCGGGACAACCCGAGGAAACUCGGACUAAUACCGGAUGCCCUCACCGGGCCGCAUGGUCUGGUGAGGAAAUGGAUUCCGCUUUGGGAUGGGCUCGCGGUCUAUCAGCUUGUUGGUGGGGUAACGGCCUACCAAGGCGACGACGGAUAGCUGGUCUGAGAGGACGAUCAGCCACACUGGGACUGAGACACGGCCCAGACUCCUACGGGAGGCAGCAGUGGGGAAUCUUGCGCAAUGGGGGAAACCCUGACGCAGCGACGCCGCGUGCGGGAUGAAGGCCUUCGGGUUGUAAACCGCUUUCAGCAGGGACGAAAUUGACGGUACCUGCAGAAGAAGGCCCGGCCAACUACGUGCCAGCAGCCGC